UCUUAUUUUCCUUUUCUUUUCUCUUCUCCCCGUUCUCCCCGUGCCCUAGCCCUCACCCACGCCGAUUUCCCUUCUUCUUGACGCCUUCUCCACUUCCCCGAGCCGAUCGUCUCUCCCUUCUCUCUGCCAUAGCGCCGCGAAGACAAGGAGGACGCGACCUCGGAGGACACCUCUUCGGCGUGCACCCCAAGUGAAUCGUCACUCCUUCCUUCUCCCGUGACCCCCAGCCGCCGUCGGUUACAUCAGCGACUGCAGGGGCGCAAUCGAUCCCAAAGAUCACACCCCAACGUGCAUCUCUGGUUAAUCGCCGUCACCAGCCUCAAACCACUCCACACUGUUGCCCCUGCCGGCCACGGUGAACUGCUACGGAGGAAGAGGAAAAAGUGGGAUUCGGGCUCGAAACAAAGCCUCAGAAUUGAAGACGACCAAGACACGUUGUAUUGAGCUUCAACCAGCAUUGUUCACCGGAUUUGAAAACGCAACCACCAGAUUCUUUCCUCCAUUCACAAGAUAGUACGAUCCAAUCAGUAGCAUUAUGAACGUGCUGAAUUCCGACAAGCAAGUGCUGAUUUGGGAUUCUUGACCUAGAAGGCAGUAGCUUCAUUUAACACCGGCCGGAACCUCCGGCAGUAACUUAUUUAGCCAAAAGUCUACAGAGGCAUCUCUAGUUGGGACACUAGUCAGAGACACAUCGCGACGUGGAGGUAGUUUGAGAUGAUCGUUUUGACGUGGGAGUUAUGUUGGCAUGAUCUACAAUAAAG